GAACUUGUUAGCUGCCUAAUGAUAAAUUUUAAUAUUAGAAGAGUUCUUAAGUUUCUACGUCACCUCAUAUAUUAAUAAAGAAAAAAUAUAUAUAAAUUAUAAGUUCUAACCUUUGUUAGAGAAGUGAUCGCAUACCUUACACAUCUACUAAACCAAUGACAUUCAGUUUCUCUAGGUCAUUACACAUGCCACUUAACCCUUAACCCUUCC
rnacentral:lncRNA from 1 species